CCUUAUGGCCGAUGGUACUGCACAACAAUGCGGGAGAGUAGGUAGCUGCCAUAU
rnacentral:rRNA from 1 species